rnacentral:rRNA from 1 species
AUACGGAAGGUCCGGGUGUUAUCCGGAUUUAUUGGGUUUAAAGGGAGCGCAGGCUGAUGAUUAAGCGUGACGUGAAAUGUAGCCGCUCAACGGCUGAACUGCGUCGCGAACUGGUUAUCUUGAGUGAGUUCGAUGUUGGCGGAAUUCGUGGUGUAGCGGUGAAAUGCUUAGAUAUCACGAAGAACUCCGAUUGCGAAGGCAGCCAACAAGGCCUUUACUGACGCUAAAGCUCGAAGGUGCGGGUAUCGAACAGGAUUAGAUACCCUGGUAGUCCGCACGGUAAACGAUGGAUGCCCGCUGUUUGCGAUAUACUGUGAGCGGCCAAGAGAAAUCGUUAAGCAUCCCACCUGGGGAGUACGCCGGCAACGGUGAAACUUAAAGGAAUUGACGGGG